GCAAGCGACCAAACCCGCUCUUUGUACCCAAAAACAAGAGACCUCGACCGCAUUCACUCCGACCCACAAAGCUUUGAGGAAAUGGGGAAACCAUUGGGAACGACUGGGGAGUUCUUCAGGAGAAGGGACGAAUGGAGGAAGCAUCCAAUGGUCACCAAUCAGUUCCGCCACGCGGUUCCUGGCCUUGGGAUUGGCCUAGUCGCCUUUGGCAUCUACCUUGUUGGGGAACAAGUUUACAACAAGCUUUAUGCUCCUUCCUCUAGCCAUCACGCAUCUUCAUCUUCUCACUCUCACUGAUUUCAACAAUUUUUGUUGAUUUGUGCUUUCCAGCAUUGUGAUGGAAACAUUUCCUGAUAGGGGAAUUGGACAAAGCUUAUGCAACAGUUUAAAUAUGAUGGACAAUUGUUGGCAUGUCAAAUAUUGGAAAUCCUGCGUUAUAUUUUCCUUCCUGCUGAUUUGGAUCAAUAAUUUCUCAUGUAACUUGAGAUUUAGUCUCUUAUAAAUUUCUUUGACUUGUGUUUGAGAUGUUCAGUAGAUUUUGAGUUUGCUGCCUGGUCAUUAUGUUGACUUGAUAACCCCAUCAUGCUGCAUAAUGUUUAGAUUGGAAAAUUACUUUUACAUCUCUUAGAUAUAUCAAAAUUAAUGCAUAUGUUCUUUUAUUUUUAAAA